rnacentral:lncRNA from 1 species
ACGAGGAAGAAGGUGAAGGCGGAGAGAAGAUGAAGAAGAAGAAAAAGGAGAAGGGAAAGAAAGAACAGGACAGUGCAGUCCCAGUGGAGAAGUGCGAUGAGGCAGCAACAGUUCACCACUCAGAGACGCCGAAAAAGAAGGGUUUCAUGGAUAAGAUCAAAGACAAACUCCCAGGACAGCAUAAGAAAGAUGAAGAGGACACCACCCAACCACCAGCUGCUGCUGCCCCAACUGAGAACGACCACCAUGAAGGAGAGACAAAAGAGAAGAAGGGAUUUUUGGUGAAAAUCAAGGAGAAAAUUCCUGGUUACCACUCCAAAACAGAGGACGAGAAGGAAAAAGAGACCACUGCUCCCCAUUAAUGAAUCAAUAUAAUGCAUUUCAAGUAAAAGAUGUGUAGAGAUUGUGUGGUUUAUCAAUUUGUUGGAACUGUCUGUUCUCUGUUUUUCUUUUUGGGGUUGCAUACAUCAUAUAAAUUUCUGCGUCUGUUUUCCUGCUUGUAAGUUAAAAAGGAAAAAAAAGAAAAAAGAAGGUAUGUAUAUUUAAUGUUUUCAAUGUCAUUAUAAUAAUUAAGAAAUGACGGUAUUAUUUCCCUUUUAUCAAGUAGGUUUGUGCACUCUUAAAUGCAAGUUUUAACAAAUAUGAAUUAUUUAAAUAUACAUUUAAUUUUUGAAUUUAACAUUUUUUUUUCUAGGUUGAUGUUACUCAAAUUUUUAUUUCAUUAACUAAAUUAGUAUUAAUUUAAUUCGCGGAAUAAAAAUUCUAACAUUAGAAAAAAAUAAAUAUAACAUAAAUUAUAAAAUGAAGGAAAAAAAAAUUUCGACCGUAGUUAAUGAAUAAUGAUCAAUGAAAGAUCAGUGAAAAGCUAAUUCAUGUAACAAAUUGUUUAUUGGUUUUUAAGCAAAAAUACAAUAAUAUUAGGUGGCAAGCUUUUAAUUGUUUGACAAUUGAUACUCUAUUUAUAUGAACAUAGAAUAUGUUCAAAUACUUUGAUCAAAAUGUUGGUAAAUUUUAUGAUUUAGCGUAAAAAUGAAAAAAAAAAUCAUUUAUGGAUCAAAAUGUUUCAAAAUGAUUACGAAUAGAAAAUAUUUAGUAUAGUGUUGAUAAAGUUUUUAAACUUCAUAAAUAAUUAUGGGUUAAGUGUUUUAUAAGUUUUAGUAAAAUAUUAAAAAAUGUAUAUAUAUUUAAAAAAUUACAAUUUUUUCAAGUCGUGAAAUAAAAAAUAUAUAUUAUCAGUAUAUCAAAUACUAAUUUAUAAAAAAAUCAAUCUCAUAAUGUUUAAAUAUCAUUCAUUUAAGUCAUGAGGUGUGGUGUGGUAAUUGCUCAUCUCAUUUCUCAAUCAUUAGGUCAAGGGUUUAAUCCUUGCUUAUAGGAAUGGAGCACAUUUUAUGGUCAAUCAUUUAUCUUUUUGGAGAGCUCUAAUAGCGAAAGAAUUAGUCAUUACUACUAGUGGUGGAUACUAUAAAAAUAUUUAUAACUUUGUAUAUAUUUAUAUAACAAACUUUUUCCCUUAAUUCAAAGGGUUAAUAGCUAAUUUGGUCCCUGUGUUAUAGUUAAAAGUCAAUUUGAUUUUUUUUAAUUCUCUUAACAAUAAUUGUAAAAGAAAAUCUUAAACUAAAAAUUAAUAGAAAAUCUAUAAAAAUAAUUGAAAAUUCAUAAUUUUUUUUAAAAUAUGGAACUAUUUAAAUAUGUAUAAAUCUAAAAAUUUCUUAAAAUUAAAACCAAAAGAUUUUUAGGGUCUGUUUGAUAGGGGAAAAUAUUUUCCGGAAUUGAUUUUCCCCAUUUUCCAGUGUUUGAUUGGAGGAAAAUAUUUUCCUUUCAGAAAAUCAACUACAAAACACGGGAAAAUGCCUUACAAUUUUUGGGAAAUUGUCUUACCGAUUCAAUCUCCGUAAGACAUUUUCCUAAAGCUCUCAGGCAUUCUUCUCCCUUCAUCCAGUAAGCUCCCUUCAUCCAUUCUUCUCCCUUCCUUCAUUCCUUCAAAUUUCUGUUAUUGAAAGCUUCAUUUUGGUUCAGAACUGGAAACCGCUGCUGGUACGUUGCAAUUCCAUUUCCAUUUUUCGACGGUUACUUCAUUUAUUUUUCAUUUCUUUUUGGCUUUUAUGCUCCGUUUAUUUUUCAUUUCUUUUUGGCUGCUACUGCCGUUGCCAUUUCUUCUUUCAAAUGAUGGGUAAGCUUCCUUCUUCUUUUAUUCUUCGUUCGGUUGUUAAUGCUGGAAGCCAUCUUUCUAAUUUCCACUCUUUCUUCUUCUUCUAACACUAUUGCUACCCACAUCGACUGCCUAAGUAAGAAACCAAUGUCCAUGCCUGUUAGAGGAAAGGGAAAAACAGACCACCGCUUCGAUAAUGUUGAUCAUGCUUUGAGUUUGUUCACUUCUUUUUGUUGUCUCUGGUUUUCUGAGAUUUUGUUUAGUUUUUAUGUUUUUUUUAAUGUGAUGGGAAAUUGGGUUGGAAUUGAAGUUGAGGGUCCUUUUGCAACUUUCAAUUCUAAAGAAGGGGAAAAAAUUGCUUGCAAGUUUUAGAUAUGGACUGACGGUAUCUUUUAGAAGUUGUUCAUGUAGGAAGUUCUUAUUUGAUGAUUCAACUGCAGUUCCCAAUUGAUCUUCUAUAGGAUUAUCCUUGGAUCAUGCUAAAGGAUAUAUCAAUCUGGGAUUUAUUUUGAUUCUAUUGGAAAUUUGUGUCUGAUAUGAUUGAUACUAUUUAAGGUUAUUAUUAGAUUUGUUCUUCCUUGUUCAUUUAGCAGCAAUAGGAAUUCUCAAUAUGAAAUGUCAUGGUUUGCUUUGUCUAUAGUAGGGGUGUAAAGGUGCUUGCAAACUACUUGAAGAAAGACUCGAACUCGGUCGAGCUAUCAAUUGAGUCAAAUUUGAGCUUUGUUAAAUAAUGGCAUGUCUGGAAAUCAUGGACUGGGUAAUGAAGUUAGUUGCUUUGUUAAUUUAUGGAUUAAUGGUUUUAUAGGAACUUAAGUUAGUUUCUUUGUUAAUUUGGGUAAUGAACUUUGUCUGGAAAUCAAGGACUGGUUAAUGAAGUUAGUUGAUUUGUAGUUUUAUUUUUGUUUUUGUAUGGUCUAAUGCAAAUCCUUUUUUAUUAUGCCAUGUCGUGGUUGAUAAUCGCGAGUUGUGUAAUUUUAUGUUGUUCUUUCUCCUCCUUCUUCAGAUUGGAAAAAUUGGGAGCCUUAAAAUGGGACAAGGUAGUGCAUGGAAAUCAAGCGUGGAGGCUUAUCACUUGCAUCUGGCUGCACGCUGGUGUUAUUCAUCUACUUGCAAACAUGUUGAGCUUGAUCUUCAUUGGAAUUCGCCUUGAACAACAAUUUGGAUUCAAUACGUUAUCCGUUCCCUUUUGUAGUGGUAGCGUACUAUCGUCUCUUUUCAUUCAACGUAGCAUUUCUGUUGCUGCCUCUGGUGCUUUAUUUGGCCUUCUUGGAUUAAUGUUGUCGGAGCUGCUGACUAAUUGGACUAUCUAUACAAAUAAGGUAAUAUUAGUUGCCUUGGGUUCCUAUCUACUUAGAAAUGCAAUGAAGGGAAACCAGAGUUAUAGGUGAUUUCUUUUUUCAUGUGGCUUGAAAAGUAAUAGAGGAUAUUGAUUUUUUACCUUAAUUUGUAGGCUACAGCUCUGAUCACACUCACGGUCAUCAUUGUCAUUAACUUAGCAAUGGGGAUUCUUCCUCACGUCGACAACUUUGCGCAUAUUGGAGGUUUCUUAACCGAUUUUCUCCUUGGGUUCGUUUUGCUGCUUCGUCCCCAAUUCGGGUGGGUGGGACGUAAACAUCUUCCUGCCGGUGCUUGUGUAACAUCUAAGCAUAAAGCAUACCAAUACCUAUUUUUGGUGAUAGCUAUGGUUUUACUCAUUGCUGGGUAAGUUCUCUCAACCCUACAUUACUAGUUUAGCAGCUCGUGUUUAUAAUUUUGGUCCCGUUUGUUUAAUCUCCUCUGUUUUCCUUUUUCGAAUGAUGACAGUUUCACAUUGGGGUUGGUAAUGCUGUUUAGAGGAGAGAAUGGACAUGACCAUUGCAGCUGGUGCCAUUACCUGAGCUGUGUUCCUACAUCAAAAUGGCACUGUGGGAACUAAGCAGACCUUUAUUACAUAUCGUUCACUGAUUCUUUUCUGGUUUCCUUUACAUUUUUUACAUUUGUUAAUUUCUUGGUGUUGUUACGUGCCUAUGUGUAUAUAUAUAUACAUACAUACAUACGUACAUGGUUAGUUUUUAGACUUCGAGUUAUUUUAUUCACUGUUGUUAUGUGAUUUGACAUUUUAUACACAACUUGGUCUAAAUAUAUAUAAUAAGCGAUUUUACUUGAAGAAAAUACGAGAAUAUCUUUCAGUUUUUCCCUAUAGUUUUAGCUAAAGGUUUUGGCUUUGCAAUAUUUACUUUCCCUGAGGUCGUAUCUAUAAUCUAACUUUGUCUCUUUGGACAUUAAAGGAUGAAAGUUUAAUUAUUAGAGAAUUAAGCUUUGCCUUUGCAAGUAAUCAAUAUUAAACAUAUAAAUACCUUGUUUGUGAUAUAUUAAAAUGGAAUUAAGUAGACAUUAAGCAUUAAGAUUCUCAAAACUAUUUAUUAUAUGUUACUCAUCAACUCACUAAUAAAUUUCACUUACCAUUUCAUUUUAGCCCAAAUAUAGAUUUAUAGGACAUAAGGAUAUGUGGAUAGAACACUGAAUCACUAGAACAAAUGUAAAAACAACUUUUCCGAAAAAUAUUUUCAAGAAAUCUGUCAAAAAGUAGAAAAUAUUUUACACAGAUUCAAUCAAACACCAGAAAAUAUUUUCCAGUAAAUCAUUUUAUAGAAAAGUAAAACAUUUUCCAGAAAUUAUUUUACGGAAAACAUUUUACUGGCAAUCAAACGGACCCUUAAUUUAAAUCCCAUGUUAAAUAUAUGUAUCACAAGAAUCAGAUUGGAUAAAAGUAGAAUCAAAUUAAUAUAAAAUUUAAAUACAAAUAAAUGUUUUAAUAAUGAAGAAGUAAAAUCAAAUCGGUAUAAUCUACAAAUAGAUGAACAUUUGGAAUUUAAUUAGAUAAAAAACUUUUAUUAAUAAAAAAUUUAUUUAUAAAUAAAUCAUUGCAAUAUGUGUAAAAAUAAUUUAAAAUAUAAAAAUUUAUUAAUAUGUAUAUAAAUUUAUUAAUAUAUGUAAAAACAACUUUUCCGGAAAAUAUUUUCAGGAAAUCUGUCAAACAGCAGAAAAUAUUUUACACAGAUUCAAUCAAACACUAGAAAAUAUUUUCCAGUAAAUCAUUUUACAGAAAAGUAAAACAUUUUCCAGAAAUCAUUUUACGGAAAACAUUUUACUGCCAAUCAAACAGACCCUUAAACUAACAUUUCUUACAAAUUUUUAUUAUAUAAAACAAUUUAAAAUUUUCAAAUUUGUUGAGUAGUAUUUUUCUCGUAUCGUAUUAAGAGAAACACAUGGGGUAUUUAUACAUGUUUCUAUUGCUACUAUUACAGCUCACAAUAGGGCCCACUAUUUUGUCUCAGUCUUUGGGCCGAUGGUACUGACAUUCCCUGUCCCUGGUGCUGGCAUUCCCCUGGGUAUCCCUUGGCUUAUCGGAUGCAUGUCUGCGAAGCACGCAGUCUUUUUUGAUCCUAAGACUGACUCCUCCAGCGAGCCUCGUACCUACUAAUCACAAGCAGGGAUUCCUAGUAGGGCUUGUGAUCCCUUUUGCUGACAUAGCUCGCGACGUCAUUCCUAUGAGGCUUACGUGAGCUCUCCUUACGAGCUUUCCGUGCGAGCUAUCUUUGCAAAAAUCUAGCAUUCCAGUGGGGUCCCCAGCAAACUAUGCCUGUAGGUGAACAUUCUUGUAACACCCUUUACUCGUACCCAAGACCGGGAUAGAGUACGGGGCAUUACCGAGAACAUACAAAGACAUUUGGGAAAUAUGGCUAUCAAAUUUCGUUCGAAAAUAAAAACAUUCAUAAUAUCCCUAAUAUGAGCUUAAGAGGCCCGAAACAUAUUUAGAAACCCAUUCAGGAACAACCCGGGUCCUUAAAAGAAUAAAAAAACCUUCACUAAAAACAGGGGCACACGUCCAUGUAACCUUCACGACAUGGCCGUGCUGAUGGCCCGUGUAUUUCACACGGCCUAAGCACCUAGGGACACGCCCGUGUCCCUUACCCGUGUGGCCAAUUUAAUUCACAAUUUCUCAUAAAUCAAGUGCAGACUUCAUACGACCAGAACACACGCCCGUGUCUAUGGUCCGUGGAGCAUACUGCCAACUUAACUAUAAACAAAAAAAUCACAUGGCCAAGGCACUCGCCCCUGUCUAUUGCCCGUGUCUUUCACACGGCCUUGACACGCCCGUAUCCUCAGCUCGUGAAGCUAUCUGUCUAAAUGGUCAUGGUCUAAAUGAAGUCGUACGGCCUUGUGCUAAAAAUAGGCUAUUUAACAAGCCUUCAAGCCAUCCAUGCCAACAAUAACCUACAUAGCAUUCUACCAUACCAAUAUCCCUAUCAACAUGGGACCAAACAACUAUAAGAAACAGUAAUUCAACUAACUACUAGAACAGUUCAAUUAACCAAGGGGGCAACAACCUUCAACAUAUGAUUCAAUAUGAAUAUUAGCCAUUAACCAUGGCCUUAUACAAAAUGAAUUAAUAACACAUUCAUGAACCAAUACUUUGGCUAAACUAAUGACAUAUACCAAGCAAAAUAAACAAAAGUCCUAUACAUGCCAUUAUACAAAAUAAAAGCUUCCAUAUACCCAAAACGGAAUUAGUUCAAUAGUGUGAUCAACGCUCCAACCGUCUUCCAAUCCUCAAGAGUCCACGAGUACUGUAAAACAGGGGAAAAUAAAAAGGGCAAGCAUUAACAUGCCUAGUAAGUUCGGAUAACGGGAAAGUAAACCUACUAGUUAUUUAGUAUAAAACCAUAAUAAGCACACAAUCCAAACAAGUAUAGGAUAGAUUUCCUAUCACAUGCACUCAACCAUUAAGUUAGUCUCAUAGCAUGACAAAAUAAUAGCACAUCUAGAUGAGCUCAUCACAUCAUUAUUCCCAAUUUACAUCUCAUGUUAGUCCUAUUGAAUUUUUUGGUUUUCCUAUGGAUAUCUCAUUUCCCAUCAGUUCAUAUAAGUGGUCAUUUUGAGUACGCAUUCCCGCGAACCUCGCAUCUUACGGCAGAAUUACCAGAUCAGACUAAAUCCCCCGUAAUACAAACUCAUAAAGUAAAUGUCGGGAUUACCAGUCCAGGUUAAAUCCCCUACAACGACAUAUACUCUAAUGAGCUCGAAUCUGAAUUACUGGUCCAGGCUAAAUUCAGAUCCUACUUCGGAUUACCCUUCCGGGCUAAAUCCUUAAUGUACACAUAUUCUUCGGGAGGCUAGAUCACUAUAGGAUCAUCCGUCUGGGCUAGAUGCUUUUCACCGUCAAUUCAUUUUCGAGAUAUUCCAUUGAAUAACCCUAUUCAUUCAACCUGGGGCAUUCUUAUACUCAUUUUACUCACUUUAUUAAAUCUCAUAAAUUAUCAUGCAAUAAACAUUUACACAAUCAAGAAUAUACAUUUUAAGUACAUUAAAAGUCUACCUUGACUUAUUAGAACUUACCUUGUGAUCGUUUCAGAUUUGAGUUUUGAUCACUCCGAAACCUUUCGUCUCCCUCAAUCGACUUCCAGAUUGUAAUGAACCGAAAGUUACGGUAUCGGAAAUUGAGUCUUGAGUACUGUUUCCGUGAAAUUAAUUCAUGAAUAUUUAUUAGAAAUAUUUAUGAAUUAUAGUUGAAUGGUUAUUUAAUGUUUAAUUAAGUGAAGUAGCUUGAAUUUAGUUUAAAGGACUAAAUUACAUAAGGUAUAAAAGUUUAAUUAUAGAUUAAAGAUUAAUAAAUGGACUAAUCUAGCAAUUAGACCCUAAGUGCCAUGUGUGUGAAUGUAUGAUAUAACAUGUGUAAUAGUUGGUAAAGAUAUUAAAUGUGUUAAAGUAGUUUUUCUUAUAGAUUAAGUUAUUUUAUUAGAAUAAUAUUAUAUUAUUAAUAUUAUUAUAUUGAAUAUAGAUUUAUGAUUAAGUUAAAAAAGAAAGAAAGAAAGAUAGAAAGAGUUACAGAGAGCAAACGUGAGAAAGAAAGAAAGAAAUAGAAAAGGGAAAUUUGAGGAUUAAGGCCCUAAAGCUUGAUUGGUAAGAUGUUUUAGCUUAUUUUCUUAUAAUUUUUAUGUUUAUGGAUGCCUAAUUCAAAGUUCUACAUGUAUGAGGUUAAAAUGAAGAAAAAUAGAAAAUUUUUAGAUAUUGAUUUAGUUGAAUAAAUUGAGGUUUUAUGGGUUAAAUUGAUAGAAAUUGAAGUUAGAAGUGAAAAUUGAGUGAUUUAUUAAAAGAAUUCUAAGUUAGGUUUAAAUAGGGAUUAAGUUGAAUAGAGCUCAAAAUUUAUGUUUUAUAAUGAAUUUUAUGAGUUAGAAAUUGUUAAUGAGUUGAUUAAAAGAGAAUAAGAAGCUUAAGUUAAAGAAAAAAAAGAUUAGUAAUGGAAAAAGGAUGAAAUUAGAACUUUUGUAAAAGUUUGAUAGAAAGUGAAAAUGUGUUUUAUGAAUUAGUAUAUUGAUGAUUUUUAAUUGUAUGAUUGUUAGUAGCAAACGUAGCACCGGAUACGUCAUCGAAGAAGGGAAAAGAGAAAGUGAACGAAGAUAUCGAUUAAAUUCGAUAAAUAGAGGUUUGUAUUUCUAUAAACCGAGCUUAAUCGUUAUUGCUAUAUUUGAUAUUUAUAUUGUAUGAAAAUGUGAAUGAGGUAAGUAUUUUUACCAUAUUGAAAUGAAUGUGAUUUUGAAUACCGUAUUAACAGUGUCGGGCUAGUCGGAUAUAGUUGACAUGUCAUAGGAAUUGGAAGUAUUGGGAUAUUCCGACAUUGAGUCGAUGAGACACUAUGUGUCGACUACUGUUAAAGUUCCGGAUUUGUUCCGAUGAAGUACUUUGUGUACUAUAAUGUUAAAGUUCCGGAUUUGUUCCGAUGAAGCACUAUGUGCUUAUCCCGGAGUGUGGGUUGGAUCCGUGUGUCCGUUAGUGUCCGAGUUAUGUUAAUAAGGGUAAAUAAAGUAAAGAUUAUUAAAGUACUGAUUGAUAUUGAAUAAUAGCAAUAAUGUGUUUGAAUUACCAUGUUUUAAAGUUGAUUAAGCUAUUGUUCAUAGAAAUACAACUGAGAGUAUUCUCAGCGUACGGUUUGUUUCCGUGCGCAGGCUAGGUACGAAAGUAUAAGGACUCAGCAUACAAGCCGAUCCCCGAACUCAAAUUGGUGAAGUUUCUAUCUUUUUGGAAAAUGGCAUUGUACCUAGGAUGUCUUUUGGUCAUUUUGAAAGUAUCUAAGUUGUUAAGUGAUAUUUUGGUAUGUUAUGUAAAUGUUACCAAAACCUUAAGUAUGGUAUGUUUUGAUAUGUUAGUGAAGAGUAAUAAGAGGAAGUGUUGGUAAAUAUUGUAGAGAGAAGAAAUGAAGAUGUUAUAAACUUAUUUAUCAACAUUUUAUACUAAAACAGAUUUGGACAGUAACAGUAGUCCAACUUUGAAAAUAUACCAAAAAUAGUAUAAAGUGAAUUAGAUGAUGAAUAAAAUAUGUAAUUGAAGCUUAAUGAAUCUAUUUUUAUAUGGAAUAAACAAAAUAGGUAAAAAAGUUUUAUUUUAUGAGAUAUUUACAUUUUGGUGAAACAGGGUUAGAGCAAUUUUUGGAUUCCCUGUUUUAACUUUAGAAAUUCACCAUAAAUUUUGUAUUAAGAAUUAGGACUCAAACUUUAUAUUUAUGGAUUCUUUAUUGAAUCUAUUUUUAAUUGAAACAAAUGGCAUAGUCAUUGGAUUUCUGUACAGGAAUAAAUUUGAUUCGUAGUGCACAAGGGUUAGAGUAGCUAAACCCUAAAAUAGGGGAGACUUUUUCUAAUAAAAUGUACUAAUUGGCCUGACCAAAAAUCCUAGAAAAAAUUUAGUACGUAGAUAUAUGAGUCUAGUUUCAGGGAAAAUUUACGGAAUUGGAUUUUGAGUUUCUUAACUCAAGAUAUGAUUUUUUAGCGACCGUGAUGCAGAUGGAUAGUUUACUACGAAAACUAUUUAAGUGCUAAGAUAAGUUUUGUAAUGUCUCCUGCUUGACUCCAGCAACGGUCUCGGGUAGGGGGACGUUACAAUAUUGAUUGGUAUCAGAGCUAAUUAGGUUUAGUCGGUUCUAGGACUAAAUCGAAUGUCAAUGUGAAUCUAGAGGUACAUGCCAUUACUGAGUCAAAUUUGAGUUGGGAUUGGAUGCUGAUAUGUUUGUUGAAUAUUUUUGUUUUAUAGCAUUAAGAAUGUCUGAUAAAAGCAUUGAGGAUACUGAUCAAGAGAUGUAUAGUGAAGAUGAUGAACCGUAUAAUGUGAAUGAAUCGGAGUUUGCAACUCCAAGUGUGAAUCCAGUAGGAAAUCAACCGAAUGUUGGAAGUGAUAAUACUGAAGUCUUUAGAAUAAUCGCCGAUGCCCUUCAAAAAGCGGUAGGAACUAUGCUUGCUACGUCCUCUAUCCCUACUACCCGAAGAGCUCCAAUUAAAGAAUUGAGAAAAUAUGGAGCUACAGAAUUUUUGGGUGCAAAGAGAAUUGAUUCGACUACUGCUGAAAAUUGGUUAAAGACUACAAAGAGAGUUCUGAAGCAACUUGAAUGUACACCACAAGAAAGCUUAGUGUGUAUUGUCUCAUUACUGCAAGAGGAAGCUUUAGUAUGGUGGGAAUCAGUGAUUCAGAAUGUACUUGAGGAACAUAUAAGUUGGGACUUCUUUCAAAAAGAGUUUCAAAAUAAGUAUUUGGGAGAAAUGUACAUAGAGGACAAAAGAUAAGAGUUCUUAACACUGAAAUAAGGUGAGAUGCUUAUAGUGGAUUAUGAACAAGAAUUUCUAAGACUGAGCAGAUAUGCCACUGAGUUUGUACCGACUGAAGCCGACAGAUGUAAAAGAUUUUUAAGAGGAUUACGUGAUGAAUUUAGACUACAGUUGAUGCCUCUUAGAAUCACUGAGUUUGCGGAUUUAAUGGAAAGAGCUAAGAUGAUUGAACAAAUUCUCGGAAGGGAUAAAAAGUCUGAAGUUGCUCGUUCGACUAAAAAACGUCCCGGAAUGGUUAGUUCAAGUUCGUAGCCUAAGCGGUCAAAGGAAUCACGAGGUAAUUGGAGAUUUAGUUCUCGAUCGGAAAGAAGUGAUCGAGGUCGGAAAAGAUAGACUACUGUGUCUACUGGCAGUAUCCGAAGUCCAGUUCAGAAUACUGAAAUUCCAAUAUGUGAGCAUUGUGGAAACCGACACAAAGAGGAAUGUAGAAAGUUGACUGGAGGUUGUUUCCAUUGUGGGGCUACUGAUCACUUUAUUAAAGAUUGCCCAAAGAUAUCUGGAACAACACUGAAAGUAGUGCAAAGAUCUGAAUUUGCUUCCAGAGGCCGGGGAUCAGGUCGAAGUAGUUCGUUUGCUAGAGGUGGUACUAGAAGAACUAGUGAGAGUGCUACACAACAAUCUGAAGCUAGAGCUCCAGCUCGAGCAUAUGUUAUGAGGACUCGAGAAGAGAAAGAUGCUCAUGAUGUGGUGACAGGUAUAUUCUUGUUGAAUUCACCACCCGUUUAUGCUUUAAUAGACCCUGGGUCAUCACAUUCAUAUGUUAAUACGAAAGUAGUUGAGACAAAAAAAUUAGAGUCUGAAUUGUCUAAAGUUAUGAUAGAAGUGUCUAGUCUACUGGGACAAACUACUUUAGUGAACCAUAUAUGUUGAAGAUGUUCAUUAAUGAUUCAAGAUAGAAUAUUCCCUGUUGAUCUAUUGAUUAUGCCAUUUGGUGACUUUGAUGUUAUUUUGGGAAUGGACUGGUUAUCAGAACAUUGAGUGAUUUUAGACUGUUAUAAGAAGAAGUUUAUUGUUCAGAAUGAAAGAGAAGAUACGAUUGAAGUAAAUGGUAUUCGGACUAGUGGAUCAAUUCGUAUUGUUUCGGCCAUUAAAGCUAGCAAGCUUCUUCAUCGAGGUUGUAAUGCUUUCUUAGCAUAUGUGAUUAAUUCGGAUUCAGUUGAAAGUUAGUGUAGUAAAAUUUAGACUGUAUGUGAAUUUUCUGAUGUAUUCCCUGAGGAAUUACCUGGAUUACCCCUUGAUCGAGAGGUAGAAUUUGUGAUUGAAGUCUACCCAGGUACAGAUCCGGUAUCGAUACCUCCGUACCGUAUGGAACCUACUGAGCUAAAGGAAUUAAAAGUACAGUUGCAAGACUUAUUGGAUAGAGGUUCUAUACGACCUAGUACAUCACCAUGGGGAGCUCCAAUGUUAUUUGUUAAGAAGAAAGAUGGGUCGAUGCGGUUGGGCAUUGAUUAUCGACAACUCAACAAAUCAACUGUCAAGAACAAGUAUCCACUUCCCCGAAUAGAUGAUUUGUUUGAUCAACUGAAAGGAGCUUUUGUAUUUUCAAAGAUUGAUCUGAGGUCGGGAUACUAUCAGUUGAAAGUAAAAGAGUGCGACUAUUGAAGACGACAUUUCGUACGAGGUAUGGGCAUUAUGAAUUCUUAGUAAUGCCAUUUGGACUGACAAAUGCCCCUGCUGCUUUUAUGGAUCUUAUGAAUCGGAUUUUUCAGCCAUACUUGGAUCAGUUCAUAAUAGUUUUUAUUGACGAUAUUUUGGUGUAUUCCAAGUCAGAAAAAGACCAUGAGCAACAUCUCCGGAUUAUUUUGUAAAUACUACGAGAAAAGCAAUUGUAUGGAAAAUUGAGCAAGUGUGAAUUCUGGUUAUCAGAAUUUUAAGAGGAUUACAUGAUGAAUUUAGACUACAGUUGAUGCCUCUUAGAAUCACUGAGUUUGCGGAUUUAAUGGAAAGAGCUAAGAUGAUUGAACAAAUUCUCGGAAGGGAUAAAAAGUCUGAAGUUGCUCGUUCGACUGAAAAACGUCCCGGAAUGGUUAGUUCAAGUUCGCAGCCUAAGCGGUCAAAGGAAUCACGAGGUAAUUGGAGAUUUAGUUCUCGAUCGGAAAGAAGUGAUCGAGGUCGGAAAAGAUAGACUACUGUGUCUACUGGCAGUAUCCGAAGUCCAGUUCAGAAUACUGAAAUUCCAAUAUGUGAGCAUUGUGGAAACCGACACAAAGAGGAAUGUAGAAAGUUGACUGGAGGUUGUUUCCAUUAUGGGGCUACUGAUCACUUUAUUAAAGAUUGCCCAAAGAUAUCUGGAACAACACCGAAAGUAGUGCAAAGAUCUGAAUUUGCUUCCAGAGGCCGGGGAUUAGGUCGAAGUAGUUCGUUUGCUAGAGGUGGUACUAGAAGAACUAGUGAGAGUGCUACACAACAAUCUGAAGCUAGAGCUCCAGCUCGAGCAUAUGUUAUGAGGACUCGAGAAGAGAAAGAUGCUCAUAAUGUGGUGACAGGUAUAUUCUUAUUGAAUUCACCACCCGUUUAUGCUUUAAUAGACCCUGGGUCAUCACAUUCAUAUGUUAAUAUGAAAGUAGUUGAGACAAAAAAAUUAGAGUCUGAAUUGUCUAAAGUUAUGAUAGAAGUGUCUAGUCUACUGGGACAAACUACUUUAGUGAACCAUAUAUGUUGAAGAUGUUCAUUAAUGAUUCAAGAUAGAAUAUUCCCUGUUGAUCUAUUGAUUAUGCCAUUUGGUGACUUUGAUGUUAUUUUGGGAAUGGACUGGUUAUCAGAACAUUGAGUGAUUUUAGACUGUUAUAAGAAGAAGUUUAUUGUUCAGAAUGAAAGUGAAGAUACGAUUGAAGUAAAUGGUAUUCGGACUAGUGGAUCAAUUCGUAUUGUUUCGGCCAUUAAAGCUAGCAAGCUUCUUCAUCGAGGUUGUAAUGCUUUCUUAGCAUAUGUGAUUAAUUCGGAUUCAGUUGAAAGUUAGUGUAGUAAAAUUCGGACUGUAUGUAAAUUUUCUGAUGUAUUCCCUGAGGAAUUACCUGGAUUACCCCCUGAUCGAGAGGUAGAAUUUGUGAUUGAAGUCUACCCAGGUACAGAUCCGGUAUCGAUACCUCCGUACCGUAUGGCACCUACUGAGCUAAAGGAAUUAAAAGUACAGUUGCAAGACUUAUUGGACAGAGGUUCUAUACGACCUAGUACAUCAUCAUGGGGAGCUCCAAUGUUAUUUGUUAAGAAGAAAGAUGGGUCGAUGCGGUUGUGCAUUGAUUAUCGACAACUCAACAAAUCAACUGUCAAGAACAAGUAUCCACUUCCCCGAAUAGAUGAUUUGUUUGAUCAACUGAAAAGAGCUUCUGUAUUUUCAAAGAUUGAUCUGAGGUCGGGAUACUAUCAGUUGAAAGUAAAAGAGUGCGACUAUUGAAGACGACAUUCCGUACGAGGUAUGGGCAUUAUGAAUUCUUAGUAAUGCCAUUUGGACUGACAAAUGCCCUUGCUGCUUUUAUGGAUCUUAUGAAUCGGAUUUUUCAGCCAUACUUGGAUCAGUUCAUAAUAGUUUUUAUUGACGAUAUUUUGGUGUAUUCCAAGUCAGAAAAAGACCAUGAGCAACAUCUCCGGAUUAUUUUGUAAAUACUACGAGAAAAGCAAUUGUAUGGAAAAUUGAGCAAGUGUGAAUUCUGGUUAUCAGAAGUUGUGUUUCUUGGUCAUGCCGUAUCAGCAGAUGGAAUUAGAGUGGAUCCAAAGAAGAUUGAAGCAGUUAUUCUGUGGAAAGUUCCUAAGAAUGUAUCAGAGGUACAAAGUUUUCUUAGAUUGGCUGGUUACUAUCGAAGACUCGUCAACGGAUUUUCAAAGAUAGCCUUACCGAUGACCAAGCUACUACAGAAGAAUAUUCCAUUUGUUUGGAAUGAGUAAUGUCAGAAAAGUUUUGAAGCAUUAAAACGAAUGUUAACAGAGGCACCGGUGUUGACUUUACCAGAAUCAGAAAGAGAUUUUGUAGUGUACAGUGAUGCUUCAUUGAGUGGACUGGGAUGUGUACUGAUGCAGAACGGGAAAGUCAUUGCUUAUGCUUCACGGCAACUGAAACCGCAUGAACGCAACUAUCCAACUCAUGAUUUAGAAUUAGCAGCUGUAAUUUUUUCCUUGAAGAUUUGGAGGCACUAUCUUUAUGGUGAAAAGUGCUAUGUUUAUACGGAUCAUAAAAGUUUGAAGUAUCUUCUUUCGUAAAAAGAAUUGAAUCUGAGACAAAGGCGUUGGAUAGAGCUUCUGAAAGACUAUGAUUGUGUCAUAGACUAUCAUCUAGGGAAGGCUAAUGUAGUAGACGACGCACUGAGUAGAAAAUCUGCGAUUGAAUUACGAGCAAUGUUUGCACAACUUAGUAUCACUGAAGAUGGAAGUCUUUUGACUGAAUUAAGAAUAAAGCCAGUAAUGUUUGAUCGAAUCAGAUCAGCACAGUUAGAAGAUGAUAAGUUGUUAAAGAAAAGAGAGAUGAUUCAGAAUGGUACAACAGAAAAUUUUAGCAUUGAUGGAAAUGGUUGUCUAAGAAUUCAGAAUCAACUUUGCAUUCCAGAUAAUUCUGAGUUGAAAGAGUUAAUACUUCGAGAAGCUCAUAAUAGUCCAUUUGUAUUUCAUCCUGGAGGUAUGAAAAUGUAUCGUGAUUUGCGUGAAUUGUAUUGGUGGCUGGGAAUGAAAAAGGAUAUAAAUGAAUAUGUGGCAAAGUGUUUGACUUGUCAACGAGUGAAGGCAGAACAUCAAGUUCCAUCAGGAUUACUUCAACCUAUCAAUAUUCCUGAAUGGAAAUGGGACCGAAUAACGAUGGACUUUGUGAAGGGAUUACCGACGUCUACAAGUAAAAAGAAUGCUAUUUGGGUAAUAGUUGAUCGACUUACGAAGUCAGCUCAUUUCUUAGUUGUGAGAACCGAUUGGUCGUUAAAGAAACUUGCUGAGGUUUAUGUUCGGGAAAUCAUUAGAUUACAUGGUAUUCUAAAACCAAUAAUUUCUGACAGAGAUUCAAGGUUUAUGUCAAGGUUUUGAAAGCAAUUACAUGAAUCUUUCGGUACUCGACUUCACUUUAGUACAGCUUUUCAUCCACAGACUGAUGGUCAAUCUGAACGGGUAAUACAAAUUUUAGAAGAUAUGCUUCGAGCCUAUAUGAUUGAUUUUGAGUCUAACUGGGAAUAUUAUUUGUCAUUAGCUGAAUUUGUAUAUAAUAAUAGUUUCCAGUCAAGUAUACAGAUGGCACCGUAUGAGGCUUUGUAUGGACGAAGAUGCCGAUCACCCGUAUGUUGGACAGAACUGAAUGAGAAGAAGAUGAUUGGACCUGAAUUGGUUCAAGAAAUGGAAAGUACAGUUAAGAAAAUUCGGGAAAGAUUUAAAACUGCUUCUGAUAGACAGAAAUCGUAUGCAGAUUUGAAACGAUGGGAUAUUGAAUACUCAGUCGGGGAUAAAGUAUUUUUAAAGGUUUCACCUUGAAAGAAAAUUCUAAGAUUUGGUCAAAAAGGAAAAUUAAGUCCUCGUUUUAUUGGGCCUUACGAAGUUAUUGAGAGAAUUGGACCAGUAGCGUAUCGAUUGGCCUUACCUCCUGAACUACAGAAAAUGCACGAUGUCUUUCAUGUUUCUAUGCUAAGAAGAUAUCGAGUGGAUCCUUCACAUGUUAUUACGACCGAGAAUGUAGAGACUCGACCUGACUUAUCGUAUGAAAAAGAACCAGUUGAGAUUCUAGCACGAGAGGUAAAAGAAUUACGUAAUAAACGUAUUCCUUUAGUAAAAGUGCUAUGGCGAAGUCACAGUGUUGAAGAAGCUACAUGGGAACCAGAAGAAACGAUGAGAUCUCAAUACCCCCAUCUCUUUUCAGGUAAAUUUCGAGGACGAAAUUUAUUAAGGGGGAGAGAAUUGUAAUGAACCGAAAGUUACAGUAUCGAAAAUUGAGUCUUGAGUACUGUUUCCGUGAAAUUAAUUCAUGAAUAUUUAUUAGAAAUAUUUAUGAAUUAUAGUUGAAUGGUUAUUUAGUGUUUAAUUAAGUGAAGUAGCUUGAAUUUAGUUUAAAGGACUAAAUUGCAUACGGUAUAAAAGUUUAAUUAUAGAUUAAAGAUGAGUAAAGAUUAGUAUAUAACCAUAAUAAGCACUCAAUCCAAACAAGUAUAGGAUAGAUUUCCUAUCACAUGCACUCAACCAUUAAGUUAGUCUCAUAGCAUGACAAGAUAAUAACACAUCUAGAUGAGCUCAUUACAUCAUUAUUCCCAAUUUACAUCUCAUGUUAGUCCCAUUGAAUUUCUUGAUUUUUUGAUGGAUAUCUCAUUUCCCGUCAGUUCAUACAAGUGAUCAUUUCAAGUACACACUCCCGCGAACCUCGCAUCUUAUGGUGGAAUUACCAGAUUACAUUAAAUCCCCCGUAAUACAAACUCAUAGAGUAAAUGUCGGGAUUACCAAUCCAGGCUAAAUCCCCUACAUUGACAUAUACCCUGAUAAGCUCGGAUCUGAAUUACCAGUCUAGGCUAAAUUCAGAUCCUACUUCGGAUUACCCUUCCGGGCUAAAUCCUUAAUGCACACAUAUUCUUCGGGAGGCUAGAUCACUAUAGGAUCACCCAUCCGGGCUAGAUGCUUUUCACCGUCAAUUUAUUUUCGAGAUAUUCCAUCGAAUAACCCUAUUCAUUCAACCUCGGGCAUUCUUAUACUCAUUUUACUCACUUUAUUAAAUCUCAUAUAUUAUUAUGCAAUAAACAUUUACACAAUCAAGAAUAUACAUUUUAAGUACAUUAAUAGUCUAUUUUGAGUUAUUCGAACUUACUUGGUGAUCGUUUCGGAUUCGAGUUUUGAUCACUCCGAAACAUUUCGUUUCCCUCGAUCGACUUUCGAAUUCGGUCUCUUAGGGUCUCUAUGAGAAAAAUAACUUUAUCAAUACAUCAUUUAAUUCCUUUUUGGUCCAUAUCUCAUCCUAGGGAAAAAUAACCAAUUUGCCCCUAAACCUUGCUAAAAUUAUGAUUUUGCCCUUGGGCUUGUAAUUUGGUUUUCAUUACAUUUUCUAAAUGUUUCAAACCUAGCCUAAUAAUAUUUAUACUUAUGGCAUCUUGCAAAUCCAUCUAUAUCAUAUAUUUCAUAGUAAUUUCACAAAUUUUGCAAAAUGGUCCUAUGAGGGCUUUCAUGAGAAAUCCUUUCAUAAAAGUUGUUUAUCACAUAACCAAGCUUCAUAUUCCUCCAUAAAAACUCAAAAAACCUUAGAAAAUCUUACAUGGCAACUCAUUAGAACUUUUACCAUUUUGCAAAAUAGUUCCCUCUAGAGAAAGCCCAUGCAAAGGGGACUUUAAAAGUACAAAAAUUUUCAAGAAAAUCUCUUACUUGUUGAUAAACUGUAAUUUAUACAUAUUUUUAUCCCAUGCUUAGCACAUUUAUGGAUGGUUUCUCCUUAGAUUUGGUGAAUUCGAUGCUCCUAAUUCUUUAAUUUCAUGUUUUAUACUUAGGUGAGCAUAGGAGAGUAAAAAGAGCAAGAAACAGGGCGAAAACGGAGAAAAUGGACCCACAUGAAAAAUCAACACGGCCUGGACUUCCUCACACGGGUAAGUUACACGGCCAUGUCUAUUUGGCAAGAUCGAAGCACGACUUACACGGGUAGACUACACUCCUGUGCCUAUUUAAUAGCCUUGACCACGGUCUGGAGCAAUCGCACACGGGCGUGUCACACGGGUGUGUCCCUGUCGAGCCCAAGUAUAGUCCUAUUCAGAAAAAGCCACUUUUGAGGGCUCUUAGGCAUUCUAAAGCCUAUUUAAACACCUGAGGAGGCACUUAGAAGACACACACGGAGUAGGAAGCAAGGAAUUACUCAAGGGAAGUCGAUUGAUCCAUCUCAGAAGCCGAAUUCAUCGUGAAGACUGAAGAUAUCCUUUCAAUUUCCAUUCAGGGUUUUUAGGUUUUCUUUAUGAUUUGUAUUCAUUAUUCUUCUGAGAUGUUUUCUUUUAUAAUUAUGAAUUAAACCCCCUAAAUACCUAAGGGGAAUGAAACCUAAGAUAGAUCUUGUUAUUAUUAUCUAAAUGGUAUGAUAAAUAUUUGACUUGUUCUUAAUUAUGUGUUCAUAAUUCUUGUCUUAAUAUUCCAAGAUAUUGAUUCAAGUUAAUGCGCUUAUUUAGAGGAGCAAAAGUCCCUGUCUAAGAGUAAAUCUAUCUUAAUUAAGUGGAGUUGAUUGCACGCCUAGAGAUAGGGUAAUAAGAUUUUGUCGGAUUAGGGUGAAACCUAAUAAGGGGAUCUAUAGAUCGAGUUAAUGCAACACUAGGGCGUUAAUUAGAAAAAGAUUUCAAUUAAUCAACCUAGGGUUAGACGUUAUUAGUCUCGAGAGAAAUAAUAAUAUAACUUUGAGAUUUCUACAGAUCAAUUCAAAUGAAUAAAUCGUCUAACUCAGAGUCAAAUAACAAGUGAAGUCUAGGUGGAUUUUUCCUUGGGUAUUGUCUUAAUCAAUCGAGUUUUCCCAAAAGCUUUUCCCCAAUUUCUCUCUAUGCACUCUUAGUUUAGUUAAUUAGUUUAGAUAAACAAAUCCCUUAAUUUUUAGGCUAGAUAAUAAAAAGAAAGUAAUUACUAGUACUCUUGGUUCCUUUGGGUUCGACAAUCCAGUCUUGCUAAAGCUAUACUACUGUUCAAUAGAUACACUUGUCUUCAUUGUGAUAAUAGUUAGUUUUAGGAAUGAUUAAUUAUAAAUUUUUAAAUUCAGUCAUACUUAGUGUACGGUUUUGUUUCCGUGCACAGGUUAGGUUAAAGACAGAUCGUCGAAUAGCAUCAUAAGCCGAUCCCGAACUCAAAAAGGUAAAGCAUGUUAAUUAUCAGUAAUGGCAUGUACCUAGGAUGUCUUAAGUGUGUUAUAUUGGAUUGUGAUUGUAAUGGACUAAAUAAGUAAAUUGAUAAUUGAUAAUGAUACAUGAUAAGUGUUUAAAGUUAAGUAUUAGAUAAUAUAUAAAAUAUGUUUGGAUUGGUUUAAUAUUGGUAUUUGUUUUGGUUGUGGAUUGAAAUUUAUAGGAUUGGUAAAUUUUUAAAAUACAAGGUUCAUUUUGAGUUAACAUAGUUUGUCAUACCAGCAUGUGCCUUGGUUGCCACGGUCGUGUCUUAAAGUCAGUUUAGCACACGGGCAGGCCACACGGUCGUGUGUCAUGGUCGUGUGUAAAAGUCAGUGUUGCACAUGGGUUGAGGACACGAGCAUGUCCCAUGCCGCACGGGCAUGUUAAAUUAGCCAACACGGACGUGUGGUACUGUUGAAAAGAAGAAAAUUUAAAAUUUCACAAAAAAUUUACUAAGCUUUAGGAUCGAAUCCCGGUUUGUUUAAUUAUACUUGUAAAGUAUUGUGGACCCAUUAAAAUUAUAUUUAGAUGGAUAACAUUGCAUUUAUACUUGUUUAUGUGCAAAUGUACUGUAAUAACUGGUAACACUCUGUAAUCCUGUUCCGGUAACGGGAUGGAGUUAAGGGUGUUACAAUCUAGACAUAGAGGAGUAUAGUAACGUGCCUUUAAUUUUAGGAAGGUCCUUUUUAGCAACUGCCAAAACUAUAAUUGAUGUUGGUACAGGUAAACUCACACUUCGUGUGGGAGAUGAAACAAUCACCCUUCAAGCUCGUAAUUCGAAUAACAUAUCAAAAAUUGAAGGUGGUUGUAUAAAUUAUACUAUUAAAACUGACCAUGUGGUGCAACCUACUUUACAGGAAAUAAGUUCAGAGAACACACAUGAGCCAUGUUCGAGUAACGAGAAAGGACCUAUCUAUGAAGAGCGAAAGCUACAAAUCGAGGAACUAGAUGAAUGGUAGACACAUAAACCGAGGACACACGAUAAACCAAAACCACGCCAUGACGAGCUCAAUAUCUCACCAAAUCAACUUAAGGUUGGACACAAAGUACUACUAGAUGCAGCAGACCCUCGUAUUGCCACUUCUGAACCUAAUGGAGCAAUCCCUCUUAAGGCACUCAGUAUUUUCCCAUAUGGUACAGUAGAGGUAAGUUAUCCAUCACAAGGCACUUUUAAGGUAAAUGGACAUCGUCUCAAAAUUUAUAAUGGUGAGAAUUUCAAGACAAUAAAGAGGAGCUACGGCUCCACGAAGUUACCUAAAUAUACCCACAAGGUAAAGUCGAGCUUAGACUAUAAAUAAGUGCGUCUCAGGAGGCAACCCGAGCACUAACAGUGUUAAAUUCUUUAAAUUUUAGUCUUUACCAUUUAAUUUACUAACUGAGCCACUGAACACAGGAUUUCCAGAACCACACGACUAGACACAUGGGCGUGCCGUAGGCCGUGCACAUACCACGGGAGGAAACACGGCCAUGUGAUAUGACCGUAUGAAAAUAGAGCAAAAACGUUUCCCCAAGACUGGAUCCAAUAAGUUGCCAUGGCCGUGCGAUAUAGCCGUGGGCAAUCCUGCCAAAUUAACACCGGCGUGCGACAGCAUGCGCCUGCAUACACGGGCGUAGAAGAAGCGAACGAAGAAAUACACGACCGUGCAACAUGGCCGUAUGCACCAAUGUGCCCAAUUUCUAAAACCACGAAAAGCACGGGCUGAAAUAAGGGUACACGGGCGUUCCCACGGCCGUGUACCCCAAUUUCUUUAUAAACACCUAUUAUUUAUUUUAUUUUUAUCUUUGUAUUUUGGAAUUACUUUUUAUUUCCUUUUAAUACUAUUUUAUCUUGAGAUUUUAUAAUUUUUAUUCGGCUAUUUCUUUACGAGUAAUUAUGCUUCUUUAUAUUUCCUAAAAAGUUCCUGAUUCUAUGACAGUUAUAAAGAGCUCCAAAGCUCAUCAUCACUUAGGAACUAAAAAAAUCCACUGGAAAAAGUUCUCCACGACUACCAUGUCCUGCUCGACCACGACCAUAGCCACUACCAGAUAUAAUAUUCUUUUGGCGCAAGUCUUAUGGACUAAUGAACCUCUACCACCA